AACGAACGCUGGCGGCGUGGAUAAGACAUGCAAGUCGAACGGGGAUAAGUUUGUAGUAAUACACGCUUAUUCCAGUGGCGAACGGGUGCGUAACACGUGAGCAAUCUGCCGGGAAGUGGGGGAUAGCUCGCCGAAAGGCGAAUUAAUACCGCAUGUGGCCAAGGAGGACAUCCUCCUGACGCCAAAGUCGCAAGACGCUUCCUGAUGAGCUCGCGGCCUAUCAGCUAGUUGGUGAGGUAAUGGCUCACCAAGGCUAUGACGGGUAGCUGGUCUGAGAGGACGACCAGCCACACUAGAACUGAGACACGGUCCAGACACCUACGGGUGGCAGCGGUCGAGAAUGUUUCACAAUGGGGGAAACCCUGAUGGAGCGACGCCGCGUGGAGGAUGAAGGUCUUCGGAUUGUAAACUCCUGUCAUGCGGGAACAAGAAAGUGAUAGUACCGCAAGAGGAAGAGACGGCUAACUCUGUGCCAGCCGCCGCAGUAA
rnacentral:rRNA from 1 species